rnacentral:rRNA from 1 species
CCUACGGGGGGCUGCAGUGGGGAAUAUUGGACAAUGGGCGAAAGCCUGAUCCAGCCAUGCCGCGUGUGUGAAGAAGGCCUUCGGGUUGUAAAGCACUUUCAGUGGGGAAGAAAGCCUUGGGGCUAAUACCCUCGAGGAAGGACAUCACCCACAGAAGAAGCACCGGCUAACUCCGUGCCAGCAGCCGCGGUAAUACGGAGGGUGCGAGCGUUAAUCGGAAUUACUGGGCGUAAAGCGCGCGUAGGCGGUCUGAUAAGCCGGUUGUGAAAGCCCCGGGCUCAACCUGGGAACGGCAUCCGGAACUGUCAGGCUAGAGUGCAGGAGAGGAAGGUAGAAUUCCCGGUGUAGCGGUGAAAUGCGUAGAGAUCGGGAGGAAUACCAGUGGCGAAGGCGGCCUUCUGGACUGACACUGACGCUGAGGUGCGAAAGCGUGGGUAGCAAACAGGAUUAGAUCCCCAGUAGUC